rnacentral:rRNA from 1 species
UCGGGAAUUUUGGGCAAUGGGCGAAAGCCUGACCCAGCAACGCCGCGUGAAGGAUGAAGUAUUUCGGUAUGUAAACUUCGAAAGAAUAGGAAGAAUAAAUGACGGUACUAUUUAUAAGGUCCGGCUAACUACGUGCCAGCAGCCGCGGUAAUACGUAGGGACCAAGCGUUGUUCGGAUUUACUGGGCGUAAAGGGCGCGUAGGCGGCAAUUCAAGUCAUCUGUGAAAUCUCCGGGCUUAACUCGGAACGGUCAGAUGAUACUGCUUUGCUAGAGUGCAGAAGGGGCAAUCGGAAUUCUUGGUGUAGCGGUGAAAUGCGUAGAUAUCAAGAGGAACACCUGAGGCGAAGGCGGCAUCCUGGACCGGUAUUGACGCUGAGUGAGCGAAAGCCAGGGGAGCAAACGGGAUUAGAUACCCCCGUAGUCCCUGAGCGGGCUGGCAAGGCGCAU